GAUCCUGGCUCAGAUUGAACGCUGGCGGCAUGCCUUACACAUGCAAGUCGAACGGUAACAGGUCUUCGGACGCUGACGAGUGGCGAACGGGUGAGUAAUACAUCGGAACGUGCCCAGUCGUGGGGGAUAACUACUCGAAAGAGUAGCUAAUACCGCAUACGAUCUGAGGAUGAAAGCGGGGGGACCUUCGGGCCUCGCGCGAUUGGAGCGGCCGAUGGCAGAUUAGGUAGUUGGUGGGAUAAAAG
rnacentral:rRNA from 1 species